ACACCCACACACACACACUGACGCUCACACACCAACGCUCGCACACACACACUGACACGCACUCACUGACAC